rnacentral:rRNA from 1 species
UACAUGUGGGGCAAGCGUUGUUCGGAAUUACUGGGCAUAAAGGGUGCGUAGGCGGUUUUGUAAGUCUGUCGUGAAAGCCCCGGGCUCAACCUGGGAAUUGCGAUGGAGACUGCAAGGCUUGAAUCUGGCAGAGGGGGGUAGAAUUCCACGUGUAGCAGUGAAAUGCGUAGAGAUGUGGAGGAACACCGAUGGCGAAGGCAGCCCCCUGGGUCAAGAUUGACGCUCAUGCACGAAAGCGUGGGGAGCAAACAGG